CCAGGUUAAGGAAGGCAAAUUUGUGGUGAGUACAAUUUCAUUGUAAGAUCAAGAACAAUGCCAUGUCCUCCAAGACAUAGUGACCCAACUUUCUUCCUGAAAACAAAUUUGAGCUCUUUAGUAAAUCUUACAGUCUGGUGCAUGUCUCAUGUGCAUGACGCAUUUGUUUGGUUUCCCCCAGGGCCAAGGUCCAAUGUCCUGUACAAACCACAGGGAGACCAGGUCCUAAAGGACAGAGGGGUCGAAAGGGUGCCAAAGGAACUGAAGGUGCCAUCGGAGAGCCAGGAUUCCCAGGAGAGAUGGGAGAUCCCGGUAUUGAAGGCCCAAUAGGUUUGCCUGGACAAAAGGUCAGUAGUAUUACAUGCAGUACUAGAGCCUUGACUUGUUCUACUAUUUAUUUAUCCACACUUUCACA